GACGAACGCUGGCGGUGUGCUUCACACAUGCAAGUCGAACGAGGUAGCAAUACCUAGUGGCGGACGGGUGAGUAACGCGUGGGAAUCUGCCUUUAGAUGGGGGAUAACGAGCCGAAAGGUUCGCUAAUACCGCAUAUGCCGUAAGGUGAAAGGAGUAAUCCGUCUAGAGAUGAGCCCGCGUCCGAUUAGCUAGUUGGUAGGGUAAAGGCCUACCAAGGCGACGAUCGGUAGCUGGUCUGAGAGGAUGAUCAGCCACAAUGGGACUGAGACACGGCCCAUACUCCUACGGGAGGCAGCAGUGGGGAAUUUUACGCAAUGGGGGAAACCCUGACGUAGCGACACCGCGUGAGCGAAGAAGCCCCUUGGGGUGUAAAGCUCUGUCGGCUGGAACGAAAAAAAUGACGGUACCAGCAAAGGAAGCAUCGGCUAACUACAUGCCAGCCGCCGCAGUAA
rnacentral:rRNA from 1 species